ACACAUGCAAGUCGAGCGGAUGACGGGAGCUUGCUCCUUGAUUCAGCGGCGGACGGGUGAGUAAUGCCUAGGAAUCUGCCUGGUAGUGGGGGACAACGUUUCGAAAGGAACGCUAAUACCGCAUACGUCCUACGGGAGAAAGCAGGGGACCUUCGGGCCUUGCGCUAUCAGAUGAGCCUAGGUCGGAUUAGCUAGUUGGUGGGGUAAUGGCUCACCAAGGCGACGAUCCGUAACUGGUCUGAGAGGAUGAUCAGUCACACUGGAACUGAGACACGGUCCAGACUCCUACGGGAGGCAGCAGUGGGGAAUAUUGGACAAUGGGCGAAAGCCUGAU
rnacentral:rRNA from 1 species